AGUCGAACGAGACGGCGUAGCAAUACGCUUGUACAGUGGCGAACGGGUGAGUAAGACGUGGGCAACCUACCCUCGAGUGGGGAAUAACCAGCCGAAAGGUUGGCUAAUACCGCAUACGCUGCUCCAUCCUCGGGUGGGGCAGGAAAGUCCGGCCGUGGGUCGGACGCUCUUGGAUGGGCUCAUGGCCUAUCAGCUAGUUGGUAGGGUAACGGCCUACCAAGGCUCCGACGGGUAGCUGGUCUGAGAGGACGAUCAGCCACACUGGCACUGCGACACGGGCCAGACUCCUACGGGAGGCAGCAGUGAGGAAUAUUGCGCAAUGGGCGAAAGCCUGACGCAGCGACGCCGCGUGGGGGAUGAAGGUCUUCGGAUUGUAAACCCCUUUCGGGAGGGAAGAUGGGUUGGGGUAACCCAACCGGACGGUACCUCCAGAAGCAGCCACGGCUAACUUCGUGCCAGCAGCCGCGGUAAUACGAAGGUGGCAAGCGUUGUUCGGAUUUACUGGGCGUACAGGGUGCGUAGGCGGUUCGGUAA
rnacentral:rRNA from 1 species